rnacentral:rRNA from 1 species
UACGUAGGGUGCGAGCGUUGUCCGGAAUUAUUGGGCGUAAAGAGCUCGUAGGCGGUCUGUUACGUCCGCUGUGAAAACCCAGGGCUUAACCCUGGGCUUGCAGUGGAUACGGGUAGACUAGAGGCAGGUAGGGGAGAAUGGAAUUCCCGGUGUAGCGGUGAAAUGCGCAGAUAUCGGGAGGAACACCGGUGGCGAAGGCGGUUCUCUGGGCCUGACCCUGACGCUGAGGAGCGAAAGCGUGGGGAGCGAACAGGG